UAUCUUGCUUUUGGACCUAAGUUUGGACUGGUGAGUAAUGCUUAGAAUCUGGCUAUUAAUGGGGGACAACAUCUCAAAGGGAUGCUAAUACCGCAUACGUCCUACGGGAGAAAGCAGGGGAUCUUCGGACCUUGCGCUAAUAGAUGAGCCUAAGUCUGAUUAGCUAGUUGGUGGC
rnacentral:rRNA from 1 species